ensembl:lncRNA
UGGUGGGAUUAGAAUGGUGCUUUAUGGGAGAGAGAGAGCAUGUGUUUCUUUAUGGGUAUUUAAUAUCAUUAGGCUACAGCUCAUACACACACUCGCAUAGAAGAAUAGCACAUCAGGUGGUAGUAAAACAGCUGUCAAAAAGUAUCUUUAUUUCAGUUACUGAACGAUCACCAGUAGCUUAUAGUAACACAGAGAAGCCUGGGCCAUGUUCAUUAGGGCACACAACAGAAAGUGUUUCAAAACAUUUUGCAAUGGAAAACAAAUGACCAUUUCUCAUUUAACAAGCCCAUGUAGUCCCUCCGUCCUUUUUUCAGUCCGUUUAGUACCCAAUGAACACAACCCUGGCGAGUUCUUACACCGAGGAAACGACGACGACAACAGCUGAAUGGAUGAGCACCACUACAUGGUCAGGACCAUCACAAUCAUUACAAUGGCAGUUUAUAAUACACACAGCUCGAGUAAAAAUACUGCAGUAUAUACAGUCAGUCAGUGAAGAGUUAACAGUCAGCAUGUGUUGAUUCUCCCAGAGAGAAGAUAAUCAACAUUACAUUUAUGUUUAGCUUCAAUGGACAAUAGUGUAAUAAAAAUGGAAGUUAAACAACAUUGGUGCAGUAGGAUACAAUUUAAGACAUCCAUAGUCUAAACACACAUAUUGCAAGUGAUUUCUUUGAUGGAUUGCAAUAACAGCAUCUCGUACACUGUCAACUCUCCCACGGUCUAUUCUAUUGUCUUAGCUACAGCCAUGGGAUUGUGGUGCAAAAUCAAAUCUCUGUAUGUAGCCUACACGGUGUCUCGGGCUAAAUGUUUAGUCGUAACGUUCAUCCAACAUUCAAACAUGGGUGCUUGUGGAGAGUGACACUGUGGUUUAAUGGUGUCAAGGUGCAGAGCCCUAAAAUUCUAACAUUGAAACGUGGAUAUUUGUGGACAAGACACAAAUAGAGAUUACAUGAUGAAAACAUGAGAAUGUGGGGACUUAUGGAGAUUGAUACAACAACUAUCUGAUGAUGUCACCACAGCCUCCCCCCUGCGUCUGUCUGCCAUCAUUAAAACAGAGAAGGGCGUUAGCCUCAUGUGGGGAAGCUAUUGAUUUUAUGGACCACAGUGAUUCUUAUGAAGAAUUACCACAACCAGAUGGACCUUAUAAGUCACCUUUAUACUGUGAGUUAGUCCACACACAAACACACUACACUCUCCUUCCCGUGUGGCUCUCACUGACACCGAAGCCAAAUCCAGCCUCCUCUCCUCUACUGUAGUCGGUCUUCCUGCUCCAGUGCCUUAAACAUAUGCAGUCAGCCAGCAGCUCCUCUCCUCAGAGACCAGCAGAUGAGCCCUCAGCUCGUGAGGAGCCCAGAUAAGCACCACCACCACAAGGAGCUGUAGCCACACAAACAUGAAUGUGUGCGCGCGCGCGCAGACACACACACAUCCUAAAGCCUAUAGCUUAAGCUAGAUGUAAAAUACGUCUGCCACCACAAGCCUGAUCCAUAGGUUUAACAGACUAAACGCCUCCAUGCCUUCCCUUGAGCCCUGCUAUAUCAUUAGGAUAACAGAAGGAUUGUUGUUUGAUUAGUUCUGACUGCCUGUAUUUAUCAUACCAGGGUUGUUGUCUGAGGCCCGGCAUGCAGAGCAACAGGGAUGGAUUAAGGUAUAUAACUAUGUCAAUAUGAGAUGUGAUAUGAGAAUGCAGGACUUGGAUAUGGUCAUAUUUAUGGGUCCGACAUGUUUUAAUAGGUCUCUGUAGCCUCAGAUAGACACAGUGAAGGCUGCUGACCGAAACAACACAUUACACCCUGGGCAGUGGUUCACAGAACUCACUCUCUGGGCAGUGGUUCACAGAACUCACUCUCUGGGCAGUGGUUCACAGAACUCAC